ensembl:lncRNA
GGAGUCUCCAUUUGCCUCGUCCAUAGUUGUUGUCAAAAAGAAAAAUGGUGAUGUUCGAUUGUGGGUGGAUAACAGGAAGUUAAACAUGCAAACAAUCAAGGAUGCUUAUGCAUCGAGAUUGGGUAAUGUUACCAGAUUGAAAUGAAUGAGAGUGACAAGCAUAAAACCACUUAUGUGUGUCCAUUAGGUUUUUGGGAGUGGAAUCGGAUGCCGCAGGGGAUCACCAACGCGCUGAGCACAUUCCAGCGCUUAAUGGAAAAGUGCAUGGGUGACAUAAACCUGCGAGAAGUACUUGUUUUCCUAGAAGAUAUCAUUGUCUUUUCCAAAACUUUAGAGGAGCAAGGAAUGCGGCUUGCUAACGUCCUGAAUCACUUGCGAGAAAAUGGCCUCAAGUUGUCACCAGAGAAGUGUCGUUUUUUCCAAACAUCAGUGCGCUAUCUGGGAAACAUUGUUUCUCUUUUUUUUUUUUUUCCUUUUUUUUUUUUUGCGCCUGUCCCGUUUGGUUUUUUGCCAUCAGAAUUAUUGUCUAAAGGCAAAGAAAGAUGCCCAACGGAUUUACUUUACCAAAUUGACCAUCCCAGCCUUGCCGUAAUGGUCCAUUUGAUUCACCUUUUAUUGUUUAUUUUAUUUUCACUUGCUGAAUACGGGACAGACUUGACUGGGAGAAAAAAGGGGAGAAAGAAAGAGGGAAAGAGAAACAGCUGAGAAGAGGGACAGGGGAGAAGGGCAAAAAACAAAAACCAACAGAAUGGGCAGAAAAAAAAAAGAAAAGAAAAAGAAAAUGCAUAUAUCGAUCACCUGGAUCACCUGUUGAGAAAGAAAAAAGAAAACAAGCAGAAGAGAACAAGAGUAAUAGAAUAAACAACAUCACAAUGAUAUAUGGGAAUAUGACAGUAAAUACUAAAUAUUAAACAUUAUUGUGCAGCACAUAAGAUCAACAGAACACAGUGUGCUUUGAGGUAGGAGCCAAAAAGGGUGUAGUUUGUGGGUGUGAUCACCCGUGUGUAAACCUGUGAGCAUGGACGCGCUUGUUUUUUUAAAAGGUUCCUUCAUGUAAUGAUCUGCUAGAGGGUGUGGGGGGGCCACAGCCCCGUCCUCCAGGGCAUGAAGCAGGUAUGGAGGAGAUCAAAACUCCAGACAUCCAGAGGCCCUCAGAACACAAGUAUCUCCCCCUCCUGCAGAGAGAAUUCCUGAAGAGAGGAAAGCUCCUGCAAGAUGUGACAACCUCCCUCACCAGUUGAAGAGCCCCCCAGGUGGCUCGACGCACCGGCGGCACCCUGCGCCAGGGCUGGGCCCCCAUGCACCCACCCGCCCACAACCCCGGCAACACACCAACCAG